rnacentral:rRNA from 2 species
AUUAGAGUUUGAUCUUGGCUCAGGACGAACGCUGGCGGCGUGCCUAAUACAUGCAAGUCGAACGAACUCUGGUAUUGAUUGGUGCUUGCAUCAUGAUUUACAUUUGAGUGAGUGGCGAACUGGUGAGUAACACGUGGGAAACCUGCCCAGAAGCGGGGGAUAACACCUGGAAACAGAUGCUAAUACCGCAUAACAACUUGGACCGCAUGGUCCGAGUUUGAAAGAUGGCUUCGGCUAUCACUUUUGGAUGGUCCCGCGGCGUAUUAGCUAGAUGGUGGGGUAACGGCUCACCAUGGCAAUGAUACGUAGCCGACCUGAGAGGGUAAUCGGCCACAUUGGGACUGAGACACGGCCCAAACUCCUACGGGAGGCAGCAGUAGGGAAUCUUCCACAAUGGACGAAAGUCUGAUGGAGCAACGCCGCGUGAGUGAAGAAGGGUUUCGGCUCGUAAAACUCUGUUGUUAAAGAAGAACAUAUCUGAGAGUAACUGUUCAGGUAUUGACGGUAUUUAACCAGAAAGCCACGGCUAACUACGUGCCAGCAGCCGCGGUAAUACGUAGGUGGCAAGCGUUGUCCGGAUUUAUUGGGCGUAAAGCGAGCGCAGGCGGUUUUUUAAGUCUGAUGUGAAAGCCUUCGGCUCAACCGAAGAAGUGCAUCGGAAACUGGGAAACUUGAGUGCAGAAGAGGACAGUGGAACUCCAUGUGUAGCGGUGAAAUGCGUAGAUAUAUGGAAGAACACCAGUGGCGAAGGCGGCUGUCUGGUCUGUAACUGACGCUGAGGCUCGAAAGUAUGGGUAGCAAACAGGAUUAGAUACCCUGGUAGUCCAUACCGUAAACGAUGAAUGCUAAGUGUUGGAGGGUUUCCGCCCUUCAGUGCUGCAGCUAACGCAUUAAGCAUUCCGCCUGGGGAGUACGGCCGCAAGGCUGAAACUCAAAGGAAUUGACGGGGGCCCGCACAAGCGGUGGAGCAUGUGGUUUAAUUCGAAGCUACGCGAAGAACCUUACCAGGUCUCGACAUACUAUGCAAAUCUAAGAGAUUAGACGCUCCCUUCGGGGACAUGGAUACAGGUGGUGCAUGGUUGUCGUCAGCUCGUGUCGUGAGAUGUUGGGUUAAGUCCCGCAACGAGCGCAACCCUUAUUAUCAGUUGCCAGCAUUAAGUUGGGCACUCUGGUGAGACUGCCGGUGACAAACCGGAGGAAGGUGGGGAUGACGUCAAAUCAUCAUGCCCCUUAUGACCUGGGCUACACACGUGCUACAAUGGAUGGUACAACGAGUUGCGAACUCGCGAGAGUAAGCUAAUCUCUUAAAGCCAUUCUCAGUUCGGAUUGUAGGCUGCAACUCGCCUACAUGAAGUCGGAAUCGCUAGUAAUCGCGGAUCAGCAUGCCGCGGUGAAUACGUUCCCGGGCCUUGUACACACCGCCCGUCACACCAUGAGAGUUUGUAACACCCAAAGUCGGUGGGGUAACCUUUUAGGAACCAGCCGCCUAAGGUGGGACAGAUGAUUAGGGUGAAGUCGUAACAAGGUAGCCGUAGGAGAACCUGCGGCUGGAUCACCUCCUUAAU